UACGUAGGGUGCGAGCGUUAAUCGGAAUUACUGGGCGGAAAGCGUGCGCAGGCGGGGAUGUAAGUCAGGGGUGAAAUCCCCGGGCUUAACCUGGGAACUGCAUUUGUGACUGCAUCGCUGGAGUGCGGCAGAGGGGGAUGGAAUUCCGCGUGUAGCAGUGAAAUGCGUAGAUAUGCGGAGGAACACCGAUGGCGAAGGCAAUCCCCUGGGCCUGCACUGACGCUCAUGCACGAAAGCGUGGGGAGCAAACAGG
rnacentral:rRNA from 1 species